AACGAACGCUGGCGGCAGGCCUAACACAUGCAAGUCGAGCGCCCCGCAAGGGGAGCGGCGGACGGGUGAGUAACGCGUGGGAACGUACCCUUUGCUACGGAAUAGCCUCGGGAAACUGGGAGUAAUACCGUAUGUGUCCUUCGGGAGAAAGAUUUAUCGGCAAGGGAUCGGCCCGCGUUGGAUUAGGUAGUUGGUGGGGUAAUGGCCUACCAAGCCGACGAUCCAUAGCUGGUUUGAGAGGAUGAUCAGCCACACUGGGACUGAGACACGGCCCAGACUCCUACGGAAAGCAGCAGUGGGGAAUCUUAGACAAUGGGCGCAAGCCUGAUCUAGCCAUGCCGCGUGAGCGAUGAAGGGCUUAGGGUUGUAAAGCUCUUUCAGGGGGGAAGAUAAUGACUGUACCCCCAGAAGAAGCCCCGGCUAACUCCGUG
rnacentral:rRNA from 1 species